rnacentral:rRNA from 1 species
GAUGAACGCUGCGGCGUGCCUCAUACAUGCAAGUCGCGCGAACAGACGAGGAGCUUGCUCCUCUGACGUUAGCGGCGGACGGGUGAGUAACACGUGGAUAACCUACCUAUAAGACUGGGAUAACUUCGGGAAACCGGAGCUAAUACCGGAUAAUAUAUUGAACCGCAUGGUUCAAUAGUGAAAGACGGUUUUGCUGUCACUUAUAGAUGGAUCCGCGCCGCAUUAGCUAGUUGGUAAGGUAACGGCUUACCAAGGCAACGAUGCGUAGCCGACCUGAGAGGGUGAUCGGCCACACUGGAACUGAGACACGGUCCAGACUCCUACGGGAGGCAGCAGUAGGGAAUCUUCCGCAAUGGGCGAAAGCCUGACGGAGCAACGCCGCGUGAGUGAUGAAGGUCUUCGGAUCGUAAAACUCUGUUAUUAGGGAAGAACAAAUGUGUAAGUAACUAUGCACGUCUUGACGGUACCUAAUCAGAAAGCCACGGCUAACUACGUG